rnacentral:rRNA from 1 species
AUUGAACGCUGGCGGCAGGCCUAACACAUGCAAGUCGAGCGGAUGAAGGGAGCUUGCUCCUGGAUUCAGCGGCGGACGGGUGAGUAAUGCCUAGGAAUCUGCCUGGUAGUGGGGGAUAACGUCCGGAAACGGGCGCUAAUACCGCAUACGUCCUGAGGGAGAAAGUGGGGGAUCUUCGGACCUCACGCUAUCAGAUGAGCCUAGGUCGGAUUAGCUAGUUGGUGGGGUAAAGGCCUACCAAGGCGACGAUCCGUAACUGGUCUGAGAGGAUGAUCAGUCACACUGGAACUUGGAAACGGUCCAGAAUCCUACGGGAGGCAGCAGUGGGGAAUAUUGGACCAUGGGCGAAAGCCUUAUCCAGCCAUGCCGCGUGUGUGAAGAAGGUCUUCGGAUUGUAAAGCACUUUAAGUUGGGAGGAAGGGCAGUAAGUUAAUACCUUGCUGUUUUGACGUUACCAACAGAAUAAGCACCGGCUAACUUCGUG